UCUAACAUGGGUUUGUUGUCACCCACAAUCCAUAUUGCGGUGGGAUUGAGGGGGACUCUUCUGAGUAUUCAUGAGCCAGUGAAAAUGUUUUAGCAAUAGGUUGACCCUGAGGCAGUUGGUAUGCUUCUGAAGAGGUAGCAGAGCUCUGGUUCAGCCUCCUUCCCCCCCACCACCAGGCCGAACAAGGCCGUGGAGUUUGGGGGUUGGGGGAAGCGGGGCUGGUUGGGCCAGGCUGGUUCCCCAGCUCAGCUGCAGUUUCUGCCGCUGCUGCAUUUCACCAGAGACUGCCAAGUAAGGAGAGACCAUCCCAGACAGCUCCAGCCACUGCUCCAGCAGAGAUCAAAGAACCAGCCACAAGGCCUAGACAAGACUUUAACCCUUUCAUUACCCAGUGGUGGGCUUCAGGGGACCCUCACCACCAAGAAGGCUAGAUAGAGGGGAGCAACGAGAUGUCUUUGGGAUCCUCAGAAGGGUGAUAAUGCCUGUCAUUCUCUCCCCGUGUUCCCAUCCCCCCAUGAGCACCUCUUUUUCUAUUUCUUUCUGUCUUUCUUUUCCCUUUCUUUCCCUUCGCCUUUUUCACUAUUAAAUAAAAAAUAC